UACGAGAACCCCAAGCGUUAUCCGGAAUCAUUGGGCGUAAAGGGUGUGUAGGCGGCGAUGUUAGUCUUCUGUCAAAUCUCCCGGCUUAACCGGGAACUUGCAGGGGAAACGGCAUCGCUCGAGGAUGCGAGAGGUGAAUGGAACUCAUGGAGUAGGGGUGAAAUCCGUUGAUAUCAUGGGGAACACCGAAAGCGAAGGCAAUUCACUGGCGCAUUCCUGACGCUGAGACACGAAAGCGUGGGUAGCGAACGGG
rnacentral:rRNA from 1 species